rnacentral:tRNA from 1 species
GGGGUCGUAGCCCGGUUGGUAGAGCGUCCGGUUUACAUCCGGAAGGUCGCAGGUUCAAACGCUACCGGGUCCA